UACGGAGGGUGCAAGCGUUAUCCGGAUUCACUGGGUUUAAAGGGUGCGUAGGUGGCUUUGUAAGUCAGUGGUGAAAGCCUGGAGCUCAACUCUAGAACUGCCAUUGAUACUGCUUAGCUUGAAUCAGGUCGAGGUGGAUGGAAUAUGACAUGUAGCGGUGAAAUGCUUAGAUAUGUUAUAGAACACCGAUUGCGAAGGCAGUUCACUAGACCUGUAUUGACACUGAGGCACGAAAGCGUGGGGAUCAAACAGG
rnacentral:rRNA from 1 species